UACGAAGGGUCCAAGCGUUGUUCGGAAUCAUUGGGCGUAAAGCGCGCGCAGGCGGAUUGAUAAGUCAGUGGUGAAAUCUCCAGGCUCAACCUGGAAACUGCCAUUGAUACUAUCAGUCUUGAAUUUUGUUGAGGUAGGCGGAAUAUGUCAUGUAGCGGUGAAAUGCUUAGAUAUGACAUAGAACACCGAUUGCGAAGGCAGCUUACUAAGCAAAUAUUGACGCUGAGGCACGAAAGCGUGGGGAUCAAACAGG
rnacentral:rRNA from 1 species